rnacentral:lncRNA from 1 species
UUUUCCAGACCUUGGAGAGUGUUCCAGGAACAGACAUUCCGCAGUGUGAUAACCUGCAAGGGAGGCCCUCCCAUUUACAUUUCAAACUCCAAGUCAGCUGUGUCAAAGUUUGAACCGGGACUGUGGAGGAUAAUGGGUCAAAUGCAAUUAGCAGCCCAGAGAGCUGCACGUUGCAGUCUGAUUUACUUAUUUAUUUAUUUUUUGCCCAUCAGAUUCCAAGAAUCCUGGUGCUUAAAAGCAACUCAACAAUCGCUCUAUUGUACUGAAAUAAAGCUCAGUUAAUUCAGAACUCAAUUGCACCACCAGGUGGGGCACACUCUGGCCCCAAACAGAUGGGGUUGAAAACUCCCCCAAAAUGCAGUCUUGUUAAACUAAAAACUUGAUCCAGGAGUGGAACAAAUAGGAAGCCAUGAAUGGAAUGGAGUCAGGGCCACUCAGACAAAUUCUUUCUUCUCCUACUCCUUUUCCUUGCUUUAAAAAGAAAAAUUCCCCAUGCCACUUUCAUCAGGGUUAGCCUCUACGCAGAGACGCAGCUAUCCACCCUUUGUGGUUCCGUGUGUUACUUUAAUUAGUCUGAAAAUUAAAGUGCGACUCUGGGCCGAUGGGAAUGAUUUUGAAAAUGCAUGUGCAUCCCAUGCAAUCCUCUCAUUUAAUUAAUAGCCUUAUAAACUAUAUGGCUCACUUUAAGGCGGUCUCGAGGUAUAACAAGUCUAUUUAAAUAUCCACUUAAUACUUAACGGGAUGUGAGGGACACACUAUAGCAUACGGUCCCUUCUCAAGUUUCACUGUCUGAAAUUUUUCAAAGCUGACCCAAGUCAACCCGAAAAAUGUUUAACACCCUGGGCUUGAACACAAGAAACUCUGUGAUGAACAGACAUUCAAUUACAUUUUUUAAAAGUGAGAAGCAUUUUUGUCAAAUAGCGACUCUGGAAACUAAUUGGCACCCUCGAAACUUGUGAGCGCAGGGCCAAAUCUUGUGGGGAACUUUUACUACAGUAACACGACUCAAAAGAGAAUGUGAAUAAAAGGCAUCUUUGUUUCCCAGUCAAAUUAGCUGAUUAAGAAAUAAAACAUCUUAACGUGUU